rnacentral:rRNA from 1 species
UACGGAGGGUGCGAGCGUUGUCCGGAAUCAUUGGGCGUAAAGGGCGCGUAGGUGGCCCGGUCAGUCUUUGGUGAAAGCGCGGGGCUCAACCCUGCGUCGGCCAGGGAUACUGCCGCGGCUCGAGCACUGUAGAGGCAGGCGGAAUUCCGGGUGUAGCGGUGGAAUGCGUAGAGAUCGGGAAGAACAUCAGUGGCGAAGGCGGUCUGCUGGGCCGUUGCUGACGCUGAGGCGCGACAGCGUGGGGAGCAAACAGG